GAGCACGUAGGUGGGUUUGUAAGUCAGAUGUGAAAGCCUUCUGUUCGACGGAAGAAUUGCAUCUGAAACUAUAGGUCUUGAGUGUAGGAGGGGAGAAUGGAACUUCUGGUGGAGCGGUGAAAUGCGUAGAUAUCAGAAGGAACGCCGGCGGCGAAAGCGAUUCUCUGGCCUAUUACUGACACUCAGUGUGCGAAAGCUAGGGGAGCAAACGGGAUUAGAUACCCCGGUAGUCCUAGCCGUAAACGAUGGGCACUAAGUAGAGGGGUUUU
rnacentral:rRNA from 1 species